UACAGAGGUCCCAAGCGUUGUUCGGAUUCACUGGGCGUAAAGGGUGCGUAGGCGGUCGGGUAAGUCUGAUGUGAAAUCUCACAGCUUAACUGUGAAACUGCAUUGGAUACUAUCCGGCUCGAGGAAUGGAGGGGAGACUGGAAUACUUGGUGUAGCAGUGAAAUGCGUAGAUAUCAAGUGGAACACCAGUGGCGAAGGCGACUCACUGGACACGUAUUGACGCUGAGGUGCGAAAGCGUGGGGAGCAAACAGG
rnacentral:rRNA from 1 species